GAAGAUGUAUCUCAGUGGUAGAGCAUUUGCCUAAUAUGCACAAGGACCUGGGUUCAAUCCCCAGUAUCACCA
rnacentral:tRNA from 1 species